CCAUACUUUACUGCCAAAUGUUAACAAGAGAAAAGUUUCGUUCCCUGUACUGUUACCGGAAUUCUGAUUUCUAAAGAUGAACUCGAAAGCCUUGCUUAUCCUGCUGUGUCUAUUCUCGCUGAUGAUUGCAGAAUAUUCUGUCCAGGGCAUAAAUCGUUGCAGAACUCGUAUUGGGUGCAGAUCAUGCAGAAUACGAUGCAAGAUCAGGAAAUAUCGGACUGGAUCCUGCAAAUACACACGUUCUUGCCCAAGAAGAAUGAGAUAUAAGUGUAGAUGUUUCGGGAAACGUGGUGGUUGAUGUAAAAAAAGAAAAAAAAGAAAUGUAUCAAUCCAUGCAAUAAACCGAAAAUAAUGCAGAUAUCACAAUAGUUAUUUAUACUUAAUGACUGAACGACAUGUAAAUGUUCUACUCAUUAACAUUCAACAUCCCCGUUUAAAGUGAGCAUUUUGCAAAUUCUUUGUCGUUGUAAUAAUUUAAUUUGCAAAUCCAAAAUAUCACCAAUUGGAAUGCU